CUCAGUGUGGUGUAGUGGUCUGGGUGUUGGACUAUCACUCUGGAGACUAGGGUUUGAUUCCCCACUCUGCCA